GAUGAACGCUGGCGGCGUGCCUAAUACAUGCAAGUCGAGCGAACAGACGAGGAGCUUGCUCCUCUGACGUUAGCGGCGGACGGGUGAGUAACACGUGGAUAACCUACCUAUAAGACUGGGAUAACUUCGGGAAACCGGAGCUAAUACCGGAUAAUAUAUUGAACCGCAUGGUUCAAUAGUGAAUGACGGUUUUGCUGUCACUUAUAGAUGGAUCCGCGCCGCAUUAGCUAGUUGGUAAGGUAACGGCUUACCAAGGCAACGAUGCGUAGCCGACCUGAGAGGGUGAUCGGCCACACUGGAACUGAGACACGGUCCAGACUCCUACGGGAGGCAGCAGUAGGGAAUCUUCCGCAAUGGGCGAAAGCCUGACGGAGCAACGCCGCGUGAGUGAUGAAGGUCUUCGGAUCGUAAAACUCUGUUAUUAGGGAAGAACAAAUGUGUAAGUAACUAUGCACGUCUUGACGGUACCUAAUCAGAAAGCCACGGCUAACUACGUG
rnacentral:rRNA from 1 species